GAGAGUUGAUCAUGGCUCAGGAUGAACGCUAGCGACAGGCUAACACAUGCAAGUCGAGGGGCAGCACGGGAGUAGCAAUACAACGUGGUGGCGACCGGCGCACGGGUGAGUAACGCGUAUGCAACCUACCUAUCAGAGGGGAAUAACCCGGCGAAAGUCGGACUAAUACCGCAUAAAACAGGGGCACCGCAUGGUGAUAUUUGUUAAAGAAAUUCGCUGAUAGAUGGGCAUGCGUUCCAUUAGGUAGUUGGUGAGGUAACGGCUCACCAAGCCGACGAUGGAUAGGGGAACUGAGAGGUUGGUCCCCCACACUGGUACUGAGACACGGACCAGACUCCUACGGGAGGCAGCAGUGAGGAAUAUUGGUCAAUGGGCGAGAGCCUGAACCAGCCAAGUCGCGUGAAGGAAGAAGGAUCUAUGGUUCGUAAACUUCUUUUGCAGGGGAAUAAAGUGCGGGACGUGUCCUGUUUUGUAUGUACCCUGAGAAUAAGGAUCGGCUAACUCCGUGCCAGCAGCCGC
rnacentral:rRNA from 1 species